GACUGCUCUGGUGGCCCAGUGGUUAGAGCAUCUGCCUUGGAUGCAGGAGGUUGUGGAUUUGAUCCCCGGCCAAGUCA